rnacentral:rRNA from 1 species
AGGCUGCAACUCGCCUGCAUGAAGUCGGAAUUGCUGUAAUCGCGGAUCAGCAUGCCGCGGUGAAUACGUUCCCGGGCCUUGUACACACCGCCCGUCACACCAUGGGAGUCGGUAACACCCGAAGCCAGUAGCCUAACCGCAAGGAGGGCGCUGUCGAAGGUGGGAUUGAUGACUGGGGUGAAGUCGUAACAAGGUAGC